UAUGAAAGUCUUAUUAUGUAGGAAACAGUAACUGUGUGAAAUAACUUGUACUAUAUUACUUUUAAUGAUUGUAGUCUGAAACAUAUUCAUAAUUGAAGCAAAUAAGUUUUAAUUAACAUUUAAUUAAGUAAAGUUAGAACAAUUACAAUAUUAUGAUUUUCUAGAAAUAUUGAAUUACUGUCAUUUGAAUAUUUGAUAAACUAUUUGAAGUUCAUGUUAUAAUUUACCAGUUCAUAGUAAUAAUCCACUGAAUAAUCCAACUGAAUGUCUUGUAUUUUUGUGAUGAUCCAAUUGUAGCAACUGUAGUAGAUCGUAGUAAAUCUCGUAGUAAAUCCACGCACCUUGCUUGAAUUUUAUGAAUGAAAUGUACUGACAUGCGCAGUGGAACCCAUGUGUCACUUGGGACGAUUU